rnacentral:sRNA from 1 species
ACUCCCUGGUGUGGAAGCUCGCGGGGCUGCUGCGGGAGUCCGGGGAUGUGGUCCUGUCUGGCUGUAGCACCCUGAGCCUGCUGACUCCCACACUGCAACAGCUGAACCACGUAUUUGAGCUGCACCUGGGGCCGUGGGGCCCUGGCCAGACAGGCUUUGUGGCUCUGCCCUCCCAUCCUGCCGACUCCCCUGUCAUUCUUCAGCUUCAGUUUCUCUUCGAUGUGCUGCAGAAAACGCUUUCACUCAAGCUGGUCCAUGUUGCUGGUCCUGGCCCCCCAGGGCCCAUCAAGAUUUUCCCCUUCAAAUCCCUUCGGCACCUGGAGCUCCGAGGUGUUCCCCUCCACUGUCUGCAUGGCCUCCGAGGCAUCUACUCCCAGCUGGAGACCCUGAUUUGCAGCAGGAGCCUCCAGGCAUUAGAGGAGCUCCUCUCAGCCUGCGGCGGCGACUUCUGCUCUGCCCUCCCUUGGCUGGCUCUGCUUUCUGCCAACUUCAGCUACAAUGCACUGACCGUCUUAGACAGCUCCCUGCGCCUCUUGUCAGCUCUGCGUUUCUUGAACCUAAGCCACAAUCAAGUCCAGGACUGCCAGGGAUUCCUGAUGGAUUUGUGUGAGCUUCACCAUCUGGACAUCUCCUAUAAUCGCCUGCAUUUGGUGCCAAGAAUGGGACCCUCAGGGGCUGCUCUGGGGGUCCUGAUACUGCGAGGCAACGAGCUUCGGAGCCUGCAUGGCCUGGAGCAGCUGAGGAAUCUGCGGCACCUGGAUUUGGCAUACAACCUGCUGGAAGGACACCGGGAGCUGUCACCACUGUGGCUGCUGGCUGAGCUCCGCAAGCUCUACCUGGAGGGGAACCCUCUUUGGUUCCACCCUGAGCACCGAGCAGCCACUGCCCAGUACUUGUCACCCCGGGCCAGGGAUGCUGCUACUGUCUUCCUUCUCGAUGGCAAGGUCUUGUCGCUGACAGAUUUUCAGACUCACACAUCCUUGGGGCUCAGCCCCACGGGCCCACCUUUGCCCUGGCCAGUGGGGAGUACUCCUGAAACCUCAGGUGGCCCUGACCUGAGUGACAGCCUCUCCUCAGGGGGUGUUGUGGCCCAGCCCCUGCUUCAUAAGGUUAAGAGCCGAGUCCGUGUGAGGCGGGCAAGCAUCUCUGAGCCCAGUGAUACGGACCCGGAGCCCCGAACUCUGAACCCCCCUCCGGCUGGAUGGUUCGUGCAGCAGCACCGGGAACUGGAGCUCAUGAGCAGCUUCCGGGAACGGUUCGGCCGCAACUGGCUGCAGUACAGGAGUCACCUGGAGCCCUCCGGAAACCCUCUGCCGGCCACCCCCACCACUCCUGCCCCCAGUGCACCUCCAGCCAGCUCCCAGGGCCCCGACACUGCACCCAGACCUUCACCCCUGCAGGAGGAAGCCAGAGGCCCCCGGGAGUCACCACAGAAAAUGUCAGAGGAGGUCAGGGCGGAGCCGAAGGAGGGGGAGGAGGAGAAGGAGGAGGGGGAGAUGGUGGAACAGGGAGAAGAGGAGGCAGGAGAGGAGGAAGAAGAGGAGCAGGACCAGAAGGAAGUGGAAGCGGAACUCUGUCGCCCCAUGUUGGUGUGUCCCCUGGAGGGGCCUGAGGGCGUGCGGGGCAGGGAAUGCUUUCUCAGGGUCACUUCUGCCCACCUGUUUGAGGUGGAACUCCAAGCAGCUCGCACCCUGGAGCGACUGGAGCUCCAGAGUCUGGAGGCAGCUGAGAUAGAGCCGGAGGCCCAAGCCCAGAGGUCGCCCAGGCCCACGGGCUCAGAUCUGCUCCCUGGAGCCCCCAUCCUCAGUCUGCGCUUCUCCUAUAUCUGCCCUGACCGGCAGUUGCGUCGCUAUUUGGUGCUGGAGCCUGAUGCCCACGCAGCUGUCCAGGAGCUGCUUGCCGUGUUGACCCCAGUCACCAGUGUGGCUCGGGAACAGCUUGGGGAGGCCAGGGACCUCCUGCUGGGUAGAUUCCAGUGUCUACGCUGUGGCCAUGAGUUCAAGCCAGAGGAGCCCAGGCUGGGAUUGGACAGUGAGGAAGGCUGGAGGCCUCUGUUCCUAAAGACAGGUACAAGUCCCUUGACCUCUCUGCCCACACGCCUCCCCUGUUCCAGGGAAAGUGGCUCUGUGUAGGGGAAUAUGAAGGGGGAGCCCCAGGGAGAAGGGCCUGGAGGAAAAAGAAAACCGCCUGCCUGCUGCAUUUAC